GGUGGCUCAGUGGUAGAGCGCUUGCUUUGCAUGCAUGAGGUCCUGGGUUCGAUUCCUCAGUACCA
rnacentral:tRNA from 1 species